rnacentral:lncRNA from 1 species
AAAAAAAAAAAAUAACAAUAAUUUUUACGUUUCAACUGAAUCAUGACUUACUCUUCUCCCCAGUUAUUUUUAAACACAAAUAAAAUGAAGUCUAUUGUUUGUAGUUGGUUAGGUAUAUGGAAUAUAAGGGAACACGAGAAAGGGUAGGGGGCUGCAAAAUUAAGGGCAAACAUCGAAGGAUGCAACAGCAGCUUCCUGGUUGAACCAUUUCAUAUAAGUAACUGUCACGUAAAUAUUACUCUAAUACUAGUAUGUGGGUUUGGGAUAAGGAAGCCUUUCAAAUCUCCUUAAAGAGUAAAAGGAAUGAAUGAAUGGAUAAAGUCAAAAGUAAUUUGUUCACUGAAUGACAAUGGAUAAAAUCUAAUUGGGAAGAGAAACAUAAACCACCAGUAAGGAAAAUUCUGAUUUCAACUAAGUAAAGCCUUAAAUCUGGUGACUGUUUUUUUUUUUUAAUUUAAAUGUACAUUUAUUUAUUUUAAUUGGAGGCUAAUUACUUUACAAUAUUGUAUUGGUUUUGCCAUACAUCAACAUGAAUCUGCCAAACACCAAUAGAGUAUACUAUUUUUUUAAUUUGUUCAUCUUGUAUUAAUUUAUCACACUCUUUCCAAGCAUGUAUUUAUUAUUUAUAUGGAUUCUUAAAUAGAGUUUUCCAUUCUUUGACCUCAAAAUGACUCAAUGGAGGGAAUGGGAUGGUGACAAUUUGUGUUAACAGUAAUCAGAAACUAACAAAUUCAAAUCGUGACUAGUGUGCUUCUCCUUUGUGACAAAACACUUUUAUCUUACCCUUUUGAUUACUAGUGUGGACUUCUCGUGAUGCCACUUCCAGAUGCCAAAUAAUUCCCAUGAUAAUUCAAAAGCGUUCCUUUCCAGAGGUUACCAGACCUGUUUUUAAGCGGGAAAGAGUCUUUCCACGUACAAUUCCAACGUCAAAUGUUUCUGAAGGGCAAAGGCCAUCAGCGUGCUUAGAGAGUGCAUUCUGGUGCAUAAAUAAUUCAUGGCUGUAUGCCACAGAAAAAGUCUGUCUAGUACCGAGAUGUCCUCAUAGCAUCAAUCUGCCGCCUUCCACUCCCUCAACAUUCUUAGGUUAGUUGACUUCAUAUCGUAUCUUGAUGUUACUUUGGCUUUAUUUUGACUUUCCUAGCAUUUUAACCCUAGAAAGACGCCUCAAAUCUUAUACAACCCUAUAUUGGGGGUGGAGUGGAAGGCGGCAGAUUGAUGCUAUGAGGACAUCUCGGUACUAGACAGACUUUU